rnacentral:rRNA from 1 species
UACAGAGGGUGCGAGCGUUAAUCGGAAUUACUGGGCGUAAAGGGUGCGUAGGUGGUUACUUAAGUUAGGUGUGAAAGUCCUGGCUUAACCUGGGGAUUGCGCCUGAUACUGGGUAGCUAGAGUAUUGUAGAGGAAAGUGGAAUUUCCGGUGUAGCGGUGAAAUGCGCAGAUAUCAGGAAGAACACCCGUGGCUAAGGCGGCUCUCUAGUACGGUACUGACGCUGAGACGCGAAAGCGUGGGGAGCGAACAGG